UACGAAGGGGGCUAGCGUUGUUCGGAAUUACUGGGCGUAAAGCGCACGUAGGCGGACUUGUCAGUCAGGGGUGAAAUCCCGAGGCUUAACCUCGGAACUGCCUUUGAUACUGCAAGUCUUGAGGAUGAGAGAGGUAAGUGGAACUGCGAGUGUAGAGGUGAAAUUCGUAAAUAUUCGCAAGAACACCAGUGGCGAAGGCGGCUUACUGGCUCAUUUCUGACGCUGAGGUGCGAAAGCGUGGGGAGCAAACAGG
rnacentral:rRNA from 1 species